rnacentral:rRNA from 1 species
GUCGUAACAAGGUUUCCGUAGGUGAACCUGCGGAAGGAUCAUUAUCGUAACAAAAAAUGUGUUAGAGGCGUGCAAGGGCUGUCGCUGACUUUUAACGCAAAAGUCGUGCACGCCGGAGUGCGUCCUCUACGCAUAAAAUCCAUCUCACCCUUUUGUGCACCACCGCGUGGGCACCCUUCGGGAUCAAACCGAUCCAGGAAGGGGGCUUGCGUUUUCACACAAACCCCUUUUUAAAAGUGUAGAAUGACCCCAUUUUUUGCGAUAACACGCAAUCAAUACAACUUUCAACAACGGAUCUCUUGGCUCUCGCAUCGAUGAAGAACGCAGCGAAAUGCGAUACGUAAUGUGAAUUGCAGAAUUCAGUGAAUCAUCGAAUCUUUGAACGCACCUUGCGCCCCUUGGUAUUCCGAGGGGCACACCCGUUUGAGUGUCGUGAAAAUCUCAACCUUCUCGGUUUCCUCUGGAAACCAAAGGAGGCUUGGACUUUGGAGGCCUUUGCUGGUGUCUCUCUCUUUUGAGAGCCCAGCUCCUCUUAAAUGAAUUAGCGGGGUCCUCUUUGCUGGUCCUCGACAUGUGAUAAGAUGUUUCCAUGUCUUGGUUUCUGGCUCUGUUGCUUUUGGGACUCGCUUCUAACCGUCUCGAUGAGACAAUGUUUGAGCACGUCUCCCGACGCUCUCAACCUCACGAACCCUUGACCUCAAAUCGGGUGAGACUACCCGCU